UACAAUUGGGAUUAAGGUAUGGUUGGUCUGUCUUAUUCUUUAUUCAUUUUGGUACCUCUCAGAUUUAAUGAAUAAGUAGCAUAACAGUCCAUUCUAUUUUAGAUUGGUUUUGUAUGAUCAUUUUCAGAAUACAAAUAUAUGAACCAGUUCACUUAUAAAUUACUACUGAACCGCAGACUCUUGCAUAUACUGAAUUUUCAUUGUUUUGUUAUGGUGCUUCUGAGUAGUGACAGUAAUAAAGCAUUAAGAUUCAAUAUAAUCUGCGAUUUUUCUAUCAGUCUUGCUGAAAAUGCAUUCAAAUCUCAAAUGAACCGGAUAUUCCACUUCUAAUAUCUUACACUUCACAGGCUGCUGUUUUCUGCAUUUUUUUUAAUCAGAUUACAUCUGCCAUUUUCACGAGCUCACAUCUUAAGUCCAUCAGUAAGAACAAAAUGCAAAUAUUUGUUACUAUCUGGAGCAUAUAUUUGUGAAAAUAUAGUACAGCAACCUUUUCCCAAGUGUAUGUAAGUGACCCUGUAGCACCUUCUUGUAAAUUCCUAUUCAUUAUAAUAUAUGAAUGAAGUGGAUGCUUCUGCAUUCUAUUAUGUUAGUGCUCUAGCUAGUAUCCAAUAAUGCAUCAGCCGUUAAGAGAAUGAGUCCAAAGUCCAAAUCUUUGUUUUUUGAAAAGGACGAAUAUUCCAAAGAUGGCUGCUCUAACAUUUUUCAGAUAUAAUCUAGUUUAGCUUAAUAAAGUUGUCCAUUCACUUGAGUCCAGGAUAAAAAUAGCUUCUGGAAGGCAUGUUCCAUAUAUGCUGAACUGGCACAACAAUCCUAUUAUACUCUGCUCAGAUUAAGUCUGUUCAUUUCGGACAUUAAAUGUAUGAUGCUAAGCUAAUAAUUAUAUUCAUUUAUUUUCCUCCUUUCUAUUUAUUUCCUGGCAAAGUUUAGCAUUUGUUUGCUUAGUUUGUGAUGUGAGUUUAUAAUCUUUGAUUACAUCAUGUUUCCUUUAGUUUCACAAUUUUUGAGCUUCACUUUUAUUACAGAGAAGAUUCACUUAGUUUCCUCAUUUAGACUUUAUCAGAUAUGUUUUGCAUAUGAACAAGAUAAAUUGGUAGAAUACAAUAUCAGUGCUAUAUCAUAUUCUAUCACAAUAAAAUCUCACUGUUGUAGAUUCUUUGGAAGGGGAACAGAAUGGAAGACAUCAAGAGGACUCCCAGGCUGAACUGAUAGAAAAACUAAUAGGACAAGCAUGAAAGACAGGCACUUCAAGAAGAUAAUUGAGCACUUAGAGAUGGUAAUCAAGUCCUUCAUGAAGAAAAUCGGAAGGUUAACAAUCAUGUGAGCCGAAUGGAAGAAGAGUGGGCACAAAUAAAGAAGUGUGAGUGCUAAUUGUAGCCAACAUGAAUAGCCAGUAUCUGGUAGGGAUCAGGAUGGAGAAGAUUAUUAGAAGCAAG